UUAGCCGGUGUGGUUUGCAGGCUUGACUUACUUCGAACUCAUUUUGUUGGUGCUUAUCAUCUGGUAGAAUUUUUAAAUUACAUUUGCCCGAAAGCUCACGGCGGGAAGCAAUCAUGGUGAUAACGAAGGUGCAAUUUGAAUGACAGUCUGCGUUGAAGUGUACCUUGUUUGGAGGACGUAUAAAACCAAUUUGUUCGCAAUUUUGAAGCCGGAUUGAUGUCUCAGGCUGGCUGCGUUUGCUUCCGGUAUCAUGCAUCGAAAGAUCAUAAUACUGCUCUUAGCGAGUGUCAGAAUAUCUUAUGGAGAUGAAGACACACAGCCUAUCAGUUUAAACCGGUUCGGGUUUGCGUCUAGCUUUAGCGCGAAACGUGACGUGCGCUUCUAUCUGUACACGCCUCUGACAGCAGAUAUGCCACACGUGUUUUCAAUUGAUACCGUUGGUUCGUUGUCUCGAUCGUUCUACAACAACAGUUUACCACUGCGUGUCGUCAUACAUGGAUGGAUGAAUAAUUACACAUCGUUGGCGAUUCAAGGUGUCAAAGAUGCAUAUUUGGCCCGUGGAGAGUACAACGUUAUUGGUGUUGAUUGGAACAAGGGCGCCUCCGAGGUUUACUUGCGUUCGGCCCAAUACACUUUGGCUGUUGGUUACGUGGUAGCAGAUCUCAUCAAUCGCCUAGUGCGCUUAAAUAUGGCUGCCAUGGAUCAAAUAUAUCUCAUUGGGCACAGUUUAGGUGCGCACAUAGCGGGAAACGCUGGUCGACUGGUAAGCGUUGGGAAAGCGAAAGUGAUUUUCGGAUUGGAUCCAGCAUCGAUCAAUUUUUUCGAGGAUGAACCUGAUGCGCGUCUCAGUCCAGAUGAUGCGGAGUACGUGGAGGUAAUUCACACCAGCACCCAGUUCUCUGGGUAUCCCCACCCUGCUGGUCAUGUCGAUUUCUACGUCAAUUACGGGAAAAAGCAACCGGGUUGUCUGGCUGAAGCUUGCAGUCACGGGAGAUCCAUUCAGAUUCUUAUGGAAUCACUCUCGAAGCAGAGCAAUGGAUUUUGGGGGGCUCGCUGCAGUGAUUAUAGCGAGCUGAAGGCGAAAACGUGCUACAAUUUGAAACAGCAAGCCCUUCUCGGAGGGGAUCCUCCGCGGUGGGAAAACGCAAAGGGAAUCUACGUAGUGGUUACUUCGGUGGAACCCCCGUACGCGUUGGGCUACAACUACUGAGUUGGCUUUGGAUGGAUGGUGAUAAAGAUUGGAACUCGCUCAAAAGUGUAUAUGUUUUGAAGUGUUAUUUUUCUCAGGGUACAAUUCUACUGAAUAAAUGGGAAUUCAAUAUUAAAGUAAGGCACCGGGGAAUGUUGAAAUUCGGGUGAUUUUCAACUCAAUUUGGCUGGUUCGUCACUUUUACUUCCAUUUUUGGAAGAAUGUCGGGAAUGAGAAUUGAACUCGUGACCAUUAGCGUGAGAAGCAUGGAUGUUACCACUACGCCAGAUCGCCACAAGUAUUCUUGAUGUUAUUGUUUCGUAUAUUAAUUCCUAGUAUGUAGUGUCCAUUUUGCGUAUUUUAGACUAUUCUUCCACAUCUCGCGUGUGCCAAAACCAUUUUUCCAAAUUUUUACAUGUGAUUCCAUCAAUUUAGUGUUGCAUAAAUCAAUUGUAGAUAGUUCGAGAAGCAAAACCGUUCGAAUAAAUCGUUUCAACUUGCCCCGGUAUACCUUAUAUAAUCUUGUCAAUUUGUCUCCUGAUUUAAUUUUUUGAAUACUGGUUAAAAAAAACAAAAGCGACAAAUCUUAUAACUGACUAGCUGACCCGGCAAACUUCGUCCCGCCCAAAAUUUGUUUUUUGUUAUCAAUGCCUUCAAACAUUCACGUUUUCUUACUAUGAGCAAGUUCAUGGGUUCAAUUGCAGAACUGUUCAUUGAUUGAUCUUCUAUUCGUCUCCAUUGAAUUUACUUUUUUCUAUAAAAUUCCCAGUAUUUCUAACAAAACUCAUCAUUAUAAUAUCAGAUUAUUUUCAGACACAAUCCUCGUUCAAGAUUUUUCAACCACUUUGAAAUAAGAUGUUUCUCCGUUACAUGGAAUCAAUGUUUUAUACAGAAAAUAUAAUAGAAUAAAGACAGCCCUAAAUCGGACAAUUCCUUCCUCGAGUUCUGCUCAUAUCAACACAUUCGGCGAUACUUUUUUAUUGGUAUCUAUAGAAGAAGAUAUGGGAGUACAUGAUGCGCACCCUUAGA